AUAUACGUAUUAUCCCCUCUAGUAUUAUGUUUAUCAAAAGGGUAGUAAGCUCUUGAUACUUAAUCAAGUGGUUUUGAUAUUGUGAUAUUAGUGUUUGAUAUUUAUGCUGUUUUUUUGUAUUAAGAGGUAUCGCUAUUCUGGCAUAUUGUCGUCUUAAAUAUAAAAUAUAAGUGAUGGAUAAUUCUACGGCACAGAGUGUAGAACAAACUUUUGGUAAAACGUUUCUGCAAUACUGUUUAGAUAAUAAAAUAUUACUCAAACGUGAUAAAUGUGGUGCUUUUGAAGUGUCUGGGACAUCAAAUAAUAUUAGAACUUUAUCAGACUGUUUAUAUAUUAUUGACAACAUUAAAUUGGAAACAAAUAAGAAACUAAAAAAGUUACAAAAAGAAGCAUUGACUGCAGACUAUUCACCCUAUUCAGCUCUAAUAAAGGCUAGAACUAAAACGAACAAAAGUAAAGUGAAAAAUAUUUUUAAAAGAAAAUGUGUAUGAAUUUAUGAUAAAUGACUUCUGGAAAUAAUAAUGGAACAUUAUAUAUCAUACAUUCAACUUGGAACUCCAUCCAAAGGAAAUUUAAGAAAGGAAUAAGUUCAGAAAUCUUGCAGCCUGAUACAAAAUGUAAUGAAUGGAAGCCGCUAAUAGGUAUUAUACCAUUUACCGUAAGAAACCUGAGAUAAAUCAUUUGAAUAUAACAUUCAAAUUUUUAAAACAGUUGCAUACUGUAAUAUUUAGAAUCGCUAAUUUUGAAAAUAAAUGGGGAGCAAUUGUUCAACACAGACGUGAUACAGUAACAACACAUUUAUAUUUUAUAUCCUAUAACAGGUCUUUUUGCUCCUAAAAUAUAAGGUAAAAAUAGAUGAAAAGAUUAAUGUCAUAACAAAAGGAGUGGUUCAAGGUUCAAUUAUAUCACCUAUUUUAUCAGAUAUAUAUUAUAAUUUUAUAUUACAUAAGGCAACAAAUUUAACAAUUGGUACAGUUAUAAAUAUGUAAAUGAUAUUUU